AUUGAACGCUGGCGGCAGGCCUAACACAUGCAAGUCGAGCGGAGCGGCAGACGGGCGAGUAAUGCCUAGGAAUAUGCAUGGUAGUGGGGGAUAACGUCCGGCAACGGGCGCUAAUACCGCAUAUUAUCAGAUGAGCCAAGUUCGGAUUAGCUAGUUGAUGGGGUAAAGGCCUACCAAGGCGACGAACCGUAACUGGUCUGAGAGGAGGGUCAGUCACACUGGAACUGAGACACGGUCCAGACUCCUACGGGAGGCAGCAGUGGGGAAUAUUGGACAAGGGGCGAAAGCCUGAUCCAGCCAUGCCGCGUGGGUGAAGAAGGUCUUCGGAUUGUAAAGCACUUUAAGUUGGGUGGCGUUACCAACAGAAUAAGCACCGGCUAACUUCGUGCCAGCAGCCGCGGUAAUAC
rnacentral:rRNA from 1 species